rnacentral:rRNA from 1 species
GACGAACGCUGGCGGCGUGCCUAAUACAUGCAAGUCGAGCGAAGUUUUUCUGGUGCUUGCACCGGAAAAACUUAGCGGCGAACGGGUGAGUAACACGUAAAGAACCUGCCUCAUAGACUGGGACAACUAUUGGAAACGAUAGCUAAUACCGGAUAAUAGCAUUAACUGCAUGGUUGAUGUUUAAAAGUUGGUUUUGCUAACACUAUGAGAUGGCUUUGCGGUGCAUUAGCUAGUUGGUGGGGUAAAGGCCUACCAAGGCGACGAUGCAUAGCCGACCUGAGAGGGUGAUCGGCCACACUGGGACUGAGACACGGCCCAGACUCCUACGGGAGGCAGCAGUAGGGAAUCUUCCGCAAUGGGCGAAAGCCUGACGGAGCAACGCCGCGUGAGUGAAGAAGGAUUUCGGUUCGUAAAGCUCUGUUGUUAGGGAAGAAUGAUUGUGUAGUAACUAGACACGGUAGAGACGGUACCUAACCAGAAAGCCACGGCUAACUACGUG